rnacentral:rRNA from 1 species
CAGUAGCCACGGUAAUACGAAGGGUGCAAGCGUUAAUCGGAAUUACUGGGCGUAAAGCGUGCGCAGGCGGUGAUGUAAGACAGUUGUGAAAUCCCCGGGCUCAACCUGGGAACUGCAUCUGUGACUGCAUCGCUGGAGUGCGGCAGAGGGGGAUGGAAUUCCGCGUGUAGCAGUGAAAUGCGUAGAUAUGCGGAGGAACACCGAUGGCGAAGGCAAUCCCCUGGGCCUGCACUGUCGCUCAUGCACGAAAGCGUGGGGAGCAAACAGGAUUAGAUACCCCCGUAGUCCCUGUCUCUUAUAC